rnacentral:lncRNA from 10 species
CUUUAUUGAGGUGUAAUCAAUAUAGGAAAACUGCACAUAUUUAAUGUAUACAAGUUGAUAAAUUUGGACAUAUAUGCAUAUACCCAUGAAACUAUCACCACAAGAAGCGAGUCAUAGCUGCAUAUGGCUAUAGAUGUGAAAUGACAGGGGAGUGCUGAAGAAACUAUUGCUUAUAAACAGAAGGGACUUGCCUUGUCUCAGAUGAGACUUUGGACUUAGACUUUUGGGUAAUGCUGCAAUGAGCUAAGACCUGCGCUGAUGGAAAGAUGCAGAUAAGAAACGUGGGAAGCCACAAGAAAGCCAAGUAGCCUGGGAAAAAGUGGUCAUUGAGCCAUGAGAAAAAAUUAACAUUUGAUCCUGUUGGUGCCACCUGAAGGCAGAGAUGGCUGAGGACCCCCGAGUAAUGUAUGAAUGAAAGACUUAAGAAUACAUCUGACCCAGGCAGCCUGGGUUCAACUCUCCAUGUGAGAAUACCAAGCUUGGCUGGGCACAGUGCCUCACAUCUGUAAUCCCAACACUUUGAGAGGCUGCGGCAGGAAGAUUACUUGAAGCCAAGAGCUGGCGAACAACCUGGGCAACAAAGAAAAGGGACACACUGCAAUCCUGGAGGAGCCGCUCUGUGGAUGCAUAUGAAAAAUGGAAUCAUAGAUGCGCAAGGGAUUGAAUGGCGAACACAGAUGUGGCCCACAAAGAUCCUUAACAACUGCUGGGUGUACUGCCAGCAGACAGCCUUUAGAGAGGAGCCUCUUCAGGAAUUACUUCAGCUAUAGAGACCCACUUUUUCCAAGAUCAUGUCUUUCCAGGGGUGGUCCACAUUUAGCGACUGAUCUAGGCAAAAGUAAAAAAAGUUCAAGCCCUUUUAUCCCAAAGUGGGGCAACUCUGUUGGGCCAUUUCAGCUUUUAAAUUCCUUGUGGUGUUGGCUGAUGUUAUUGGGUUGGCCUGGCAGCCCUACAUACUCUUCUCCCCAAUCUUGUUUUUUUCCCUUUUCAUUCAUGGCUUUUGAUCUCAAGGCACUUCUUUUUUAAAAAAAUUUUUACCUCAUUUUUUUUGGACAGGGUCUCACUUUGUUGCCCAGGGCAGAGUACUGUAGCACAACCAUAGCUCAUUGCAACCUCCAGUUCCUAAGUCAUCCUCCCACCUAAGCCUCCUGUGUAGCUAGGACUAUAGGUGCAUGCCACCAUGCCCUGCAAAUUUAAAUUUUUUUUUCGUGGAGAAAGGGUCUUGGUAUACUGCUCAGGCUAGUCUCAAAUUCCUUAUCUCAAGUGAUCAUUCCCUCUUAGCCUCCCAAUGAGCCAUUGCACCUGGUCCCAAAGGCACUUCUUAAUAAGCAUCCUGCAUGCUAAACCCUGUCUAUAAAAGUCUUUAAGAAUUGGCUUUCUGUAAACCCCAGCCAGCAAUACAUAACUAUUUUGAAGCCUCCACAGAACUCUUGAGCAUUUGCUACAAACCAGCCAGCAAUCUCCUCCCAUCCAAGUUUUUCAGUGUAUAAACUCCAAUCUCUUCACAAAGUGUCAUCCUGCUCCACAAAGAAGAAUAAACUAGUUAUUGAUUAUGUCUUCUUUGCUUUCUAUACACUCCAAUCAAGCUGUUUCCUCCUUCAUAGUGUGAUGUGAACCCAUAUUGUAGGCUUUUACUCAUGAAAUGACUAUAUUAUUAAAAGAGAGAUUCUCUCAUCUCUAAGCCCUUCCUUAUGAAGAAAUUUGUAAAUAAAUUUAUUAAUGAAUUACCUAUCAUGUUUUUCUUACUCAAAAUAAAUCAGGUGCCCUAUAGCUGCUGAAGCCUUGCUUGCAUCUUAGUAAUAAUAAAGUUGGUGGCUUUAAAAUGAAUUCUAAAAAACUCAAAAUUACAUGUAUUUAUUCUUUUCAUUUCUUAUUCUCAGACUUGAAUUGGCUCACUAUUCAAAGUAUAAGUAAUGUAAACUUUUCAAGAUGAUGCUAUUCAUGAAUUGUCUCUUCUAAGCCCAAAUUACAUAAUUUUCUAGUUUAGAAAAGGCUUUGGUAUAUCUCAUUCCUAUAGCACUCAAGUUUAUCAUCAACUUUAUUGAGGAGAUUUUUAGAUUUUAAAUACUUGAAUUUUGUUUAAAAUAUCAGACACAUGUAAACUUGUCUGACUUUUAAUUUAGCAGGAAAAAAGCUUAAUAUUUCAACAAGACAUUUACCCUGAAGAGAAACAAUAACAUGGAAUAAAAUAAUUAGAACAUCUUUCAUUUAUUAGAAUAGUGAAAAUACAAAAACAAAACAAAACAUAAAAACAACAAUACCAAAUGCUGGUAAGAAUGCUGAAUACAUUCAUUGCUGGUAAGGGUGAAAAUGGUAUAGCCACUUUGGAAAACAGUUUGGUCAGUUUCUUGAAAAAAACUAAACAUAGCCUUACAAGUGGUCCAGCUAUCCCUUUUCUAGUUAUUUACUGAAGUAAGUUGAAAAUUUAGGCUCACCCCAAAAUCUGUACACAGAUGUGUAUAGAUUUAUUCAUAAUCCUCUCAAACUAGAAAUAACAAAAAUGUCCCUCAAAUGGUGAAUUGAUGAACAAAUUGUAUGUAGUAUAUCUAUAUAAUAAAAUAUAAUUCAACAACAAAAAGAUAUGUGCUGUCAAGCCACAUAAAAAAUGUAGAAAUCUAAUAUGCCUAUUGCUUAGUAAAAAAGCCAGUCUGAUAAGGCUACAUACUGUAUGAUUCUAAAUAUAUAGUAUUCUAGAAAAGGCAAAAUUAUAGAGACAAUAAAAUAUUUGUGGUUUCCUGGGAUUGAGGGGAAGAGGAAGAUUGAGCAGGUGCUACACAGGGGCACAUUAGGGCAGUGAAAGUAUUCUGCAUGAUAUUAUAAUGGUGGAUUCAUGACACUAUGCAUUUGUUAAAACCUAUAAAACUGUAACACAAGGAGUGAAGCCAAAUGUAAACUAUGGACUUUGGUUAAUAAUAAUGUAUCAAUAUUGGCUCAUCAAUUAUAACAAAUGUACCACAUUAAUGCAAGAUGUUAAUAAUGAGGAAGACUGUGAGGUGAUAAAGAGGGGAUAUAAGGGAAUUCUCUGUACUGUGUUCUCAAUUAUUGUAAACCUCAAACUUCUGUAAAAAUCCUAUUAAUAAGAUAAAAAGGAAAAUAUGUGUGUGUGUGUGUAUAUAUAUAUAUAUAUAUAAU